GUGGGGAAUUUUGGACAAUGGGCGAAAGCCUGAUCCAGCCAUGCCGCGUGCAGGAUGAAGGCCCUAGGAUUGUAAAAUUCUUUCACCGGGGACGAUAAUGACGGUACCCGGAGAAGAAGCCCCGGCUAACUUCGUGCCAGCAGCCGCGGUAAUACGAAGGGGGCUAGCGUUGCUCGGAAUUACUGGGCGUAAAGGGCGCGUAGGCGGACAGUUUAGUCAGAGGUGAAAGCCCAGGGCUCAACCUUGGAAUUGCCUUUGAUACUGGCUGUCUUGAGUACGGGAGAGGUGAGUGGAACUCCGAGUGUAGAGGUGAAAUUCGUAGAUAUUCGGAAGAACACCAGUGGCGAAGGCGACUCACUGGCCCGUUACUGACGCUGAGGCGCGAAAGCGUGGGGAGCAAACAGGAUUAGAUACCCCGGUAGUCC
rnacentral:rRNA from 1 species